CCUACGGGGGGCUGCAGUCGAGAAUAGUCUACAAUGGCCGGAAGGCUGAUAGUGCGACGCCGCGUGAACGAGGGAGCCCUUCGGGGUGUAAAGUUCUUUUCUAUACGAGCAGUGCUAUAUAUAUGGAUAGUAUAUAUAGAGGGAUAGUAGUAUAGGAAUAAGCAACGGCUAACUCCGUGCCAGCAGCCGCGGUAACACGGGGGUUGCGAGCGUUGUCCGGAAUUACUAGGCGUAAAGGGCAGGUAGGCGGAUCUACGAGUUUUUUGUUAAAGGCUACGGCUCAACUGUAGUAGAGCAGGAGAUACUGUAGGUCUGGAAUGCGGUAGGGGAAGACAGAAUUCCUGGUGUAGCGGUGGAAUGCGCAGAGAUCAGGAGGAAUACCGAAGGCGAAGGCAGUCUUCUAGGCCGUAAUUGACGCUUAACUGCGAAGGUGUGGGGAUCAAACAGGAUUAGAUACCCCGGUAGUC
rnacentral:rRNA from 1 species